rnacentral:lncRNA from 1 species
UGGGUUAGGGUAAACUGUUAAGAUUUAAACCUACUCAUAUUACCUUCCACCAUAGGGCUUGCAACCGUCACUUGUGUCUUGAGCAGUUAAAAGAUAGAACGGUCUAGUCAAGCGCCAUGUCUCUUGUUCUUCGAUUAACUAUAGCUCUGGAGUUUUUGUAGAUUUUUAAAUAAAACUUAGAGAUUCCUUGUAUGACUCUCUCUAGUCUCUCUUUUGUGGUAUUUUUGGAUCCUUACCAAGGCAGUAAUGGUGUAUGCCUUCUCUCAAAGUAUGUGGUAUUUUUGGUAUGAGGCAUAGUGACAUUGCCUUCUCUCUCAUCCUACUCUAAUAAGGUUUUUGAUAUCUGGAGCUCAUAGGUGGGAGACAGCUAAUACAUACUUACAAGACAUUUAUUGCAUAGUCAAACCAUGGAUCCCGAAGAACAAGUCAAUAAGUCAAACCAAGAUGUGCAUGUGUGGCGAAUGAAUGGUGUAUGAUGAUGAUAACAAUGGUGAAAGUCUAAUUCUACUUGUGCUCUUUUGAGGGAUACAUACCUUUCUUACUCUUUUGAAACUUUUUGAGGAGAAUGAGAUACUCUAUAUUUUCUUUUUCUUUUCUCUCAUGUGGGUAUCUUGUACCCCUAAUUCUACUGUCGAACACUUGUCCAUUUUUACCUCUCGUCUCACUUUUUCUUUUCUUUCGAGGUUCCGGGCACUUGCCCCUUUUUAUUUCCUCGUAUAUUUUUUUCUCCUCUUUUUUUAGAGCACUCAUCUCCUAAAAUAAUAUAGCAGGUGGUACUAACCGAAAUAACUUGAGCAUUUAUUUCACAGGGGAAAACAGAAAUAGGAGAAUGUUUUUGGCUAUUCUCUCCCGGAUUAGGAGUAGAAUAUUUUUGGGUGGUUCUGGAGAUGGAAAUGGGUGGAUAUAUGUGGAUGCGUACUUCCGGAGUAGAAGCAGCAUGUGUGAGUGAACGUGCAAGUGAAUCUUGAUUUUAACCACAUGACAAGCUCCUAAGGGUCUACACAGCUUGACCACACUCAAUGCUCAUAAGCAGUAAAAAGUAAAUGUGUGGCUCAAAGUCUAGCAAGCAUGUAUAUAUAGCUGUGGUAGGAAUUUAAACUCUGAUCAUACAGGAACUCGUCACGUGAUAUUUUAAAGAUUUUUAAAGAUAAAAUUCUUCAGAAUUCUAGCAUCUCUAGGAACAGAUAAAUAGCAGCUCAACUUUUCCAUAUCAAGUACUCUUCCCACAAGUUUAGGUUUAGAGCAAAUCUUAAUUAAUAACAGUCAUGCCUAAAUUUGAGAGAGAUUUCAAUUUUGAGAACUAGUCAUGGCAGAGCAACUAUUCAUCAUUUCCAUGUGAGAGCUUAUCAUGAGGGUUCAUAGCAAACUUUAUUUAUUUAUUUAGCAAACUAAGCAAAGAUAUAUAUAUAUAUAUAUAUAUAUAAGAAUAAAUCUUUAUUUGGGUUUUCAUGAUUAUGCAUCUUUUUAUUAUUUGAGUAAAGUAUAAACGUGAGUAGAAUACUUAGCUGGAUAAAUGGGGGUUGCUCUCCCCCAAGCUGGAUUUUGACACAAUUUCUUCUGAUGUAGCUAGCAGGUGGCAGAGGUGUAUUUGAAAGUCGGCAGCACCUUGACAGCGAUUAGAAUGUCCUCCGUCUGCUAGUUUUCUUUGAUCCUUGAAUCCUGUGGAUCUCAAAUAGACAACAAAGCUUUGUGGAACUGGUUAAGUGUUAGCAUAAAUAUCUAGCCUUUAUCAUGUUGAGCCUCCUCAAUAAAUGUUACUCUCUUUAGUAGGAUCAUAAAUUUAUUUUUAUAAUUUUAUUUUUAUAGGACAAGAAUAUAUUUAUUUUAUUUUUACGCCACCACAGUGAAUGUACUCAUGGGUUUUAUGCCAUGAGCAUACUCACAUGGGGCUUACUAUUUUUAACAUUUUUAUUUUCUUUUCAAGAUGAUAUGAACCUGAUUAACUAAGAAAACUAUUUUAACUAAUUGAAAGAAAAAAGGAUAACUACGAAGUUUACCUCUUGGCAAGACGUUCGGUGUUUUUAAGUCCUCUGAACGGGACUCUCCGUUUUCUCAGUCGUCCUGAGAUUCACUGGAUUGCGUAGUCGGUGGUUCUGGCGGCGCCUCCUCUUCGUGUAUAACUAUCUUCUCUCUCCACACCUGACUUGGUGCUACGGUCUCCUCAGGACAGUUCUGUUCAAGCUGUAUGUCUUCAGACCUUACAACUUCUCCUUCAUAGUCUGCUAUCUGUCCUUGAUGAUUUGCCUCCUCUGGUUGCGGUUGCGUCGUCUUCUCAGAGGGGAAGUGCAUAUGGACUUCUCCAGUUUCAAUGUAGAUGAUUGUUUUAGCGGUGCUGAGGAAUGGUCUCCCAAGGAUGAUGGGUGGAUCGUACUUGUCUUUUCCCAUGUCAAUAACCUAAAAAUCCUUUUUGGUCAGGAACGGUGACUUAAGUCGACGAUCUUGACCUCCUUGAACUACAGUGACCAUCUUAGCUGACUCGGUCCACAUUUGCUUGUUCCAGUUCCUCCAGUUGGUCCUCUUCCUUGGUUCAUGUCGGGAUUGCUUUGGGAUUUAUGUAGUCUUGUUCUUGAAGGAAAACGUCUCCUUUCUCCCUUUAAUGUAGAAACUGAUCUUGGUAGCACUAGCGUAGAUGACAGCUCCUGAGUUGUUCAGGAAUGGCCUCCCUAGGAUGAUGGGUGCUCUCUCAUCAGUACUAGUCUCUAUCACCACGAAGUCUGCUGGGGCGUACAAGGUACCAACUCGGAUGCAGAGGUUCUUCAAUAUUCCCUUUGGGAAACUUAGUGUCCGAUCUGCAAGCUUGGGCAUAAUAUUGACGCUGGAGCCAAAGUCGCAGAGUGCUUCUGGGAAGUUCACCAUGCCGAUGGAGAUCGGGAUGACGGUGCGUCCUGGAUCGCCUCUCUUGACCGGCAGAAGGUCAGUAAUUACUUCCACAACGGGGUUACUCCAGUAGUUACAUCCUCAAGCAUCUCAGGGCAGUGAUUGCCUGAGUGUCCAGUAUCUCUAGUGUGUUUGUGUUCGUAGAUCGAGGUUCUUCACUUGGUGGAGUCUAGGAGUUGUAAAACUCCUUCAUAUUUUGCUCGUAGUGUACCUGCUCAUAGAGACAAGGCAGAGAUCAAGUGCAUGGGCCCUGUUGGUGGAAAACACCAACAGAACCAAAAGUGUAUUUGUUCUUCUCUAACCUUAAGCAUAGUGAGCAAGACAAAGUUGAAGGAUAAUAAGAUCAUGAGUGUAGCAUUUAAAGCAUUUGUCAGAUCAGAUCGCUCAACCAAAUGGGAAGAUAAUCUAUCUAUACUUAUGUUUUUUAUAUCUUCCAAAGAUUGAGUGUGCAACAUUUUAGCUCAUAUGAUUAGGAGUGUAGAAUCACAAAGGUGGAAGGACUAAACAUGUUGAAUUGAUUGGGUUGGUUAAUUUAGAGUU